rnacentral:rRNA from 1 species
UACGUAGGGCGCAAGCGUUAUCCGGAAUUAUUGGGCGUAAAGAGCUCGUAGGCGGUUUGUCGCGUCUGCCGUGAAAGUCCGGGGCUCAACUCCGGAUCUGCGGUGGGUACGGGCAGACUAGAGUGAUGUAGGGGAGACUGGAAUUCCUGGUGUAGCGGUGGAAUGCGCAGAUAUCAGGAGGAACACCGAUGGCGAAGGCAGGUCUCUGGGCCACUACUGACGCUGAGGAGCGAAAGCGUGGGGAGCGAACAGG